GGGGGCUCUGGGUUACGCUCUAUACCCUUUGUGACAUACCUAUAACUGUUGCUUCGGCGGGUAGGGUCUCCGUGACCCUCCCGGCCUCCCGCCCCCGGGCGGGUCGGCGCCCGCCGGAGGAUAACCAAACUCUGAUUUAACGACGUUUCUUCUGAGUGGUACAAGCAAAUAAUCAAAACUUUUAACAACGGAUCUCUUGGUUCUGGCAUCGAUGAAGAACGCAGCGAAAUGCGAUAAGUAAUGUGAAUUGCAGAAUUCAGUGAAUCAUCGAAUCUUUGAACGCACAUUGCGCCCGCCAGCAUUCUGGCGGGCAUGCCUGUUCGAGCGUCAUUUCAACCCUCAAGCUCUGCUUGGUGUUGGGGCCCUACAGCUGAUGUAGGCCCUCAAAGGUAGUGGCGGACCCUCCCGGAGCCUCCUUUGCGUAGUAACUUUACGUCUCGCACUGGGAUCCGGAGGGACUCUUGCCGUAAAACCCCCAAUUUUCCAAAGGUUGACCUCGGAUCAGGUAGGAAUACCCGCUGAACUUAAGCAUAUCAAUAAGCGGAGGAA
rnacentral:rRNA from 1 species